rnacentral:misc_RNA from 1 species
CAAUUCCUCAUCAUGAUAAUGAAAGUCAAGAUUGAUACUGAAUGCAGGGAUGAUGCAAGGGUUAAAUGACAUAUCUCUUCUUCUGUAAAUUAUAUUCCAUUUGCAUCAUCUUCUGUAAAUGACAUAUCUCUGCUUCAAACCAUUUGCUGUCCAAUAAACUAGCAUAUAACAGUGUGCCUAUUCUCAAAAAGCAAAAGAGAAACAAAUACAGCCACUUGACUUACAGGGAAUGUGCAUACUCUGAUUGCACCUGUUGGAAGCAUGACAUUAGACUCGGUCCAUCAUAAAUAUAACGAGACUCACCUAUUCAAUAUAUAUGGUCCUAUAUGUUGCAUCUUGAAUGAACCCAGUUUAGACAAUAAUUUCUAAUUUCACAAGACACCCUUUAAAAAUAAGAGAUAUCUGAAACUCAGUCCAGCCAAGAGUAUACUUGUUGCUUUCUCUUCAACAAUAGAUACAAGUCUAUGGGGGUAAUGCAAUCUGCCUAUCCACAACCUAUGAUGAAACCAGAACCAGUGAAUGGCAUGUAAAAUCAGCUUUCAACUCUAAUCAGUCUCUACCUGAAACACUCCCAUUUCUCUUCUCUUCUGUCUUCAUUGACAGAAUCCAUAGCCAAAUCCAACUUUCUACAUUCAGCAAAUGGAUUGUUCGCUCUUCUCCUCUUCAAAAUCACCUCUGAUUCCUUCAUCAACCUUAUGUACUUCUUCCUGACCAUCAACAUUGGAUGCCUCUCUAUAGCCAGUUCAUCAUCACCAUAAGCCUCCUUCAGAAUUGCUGUGCAAGUCUUGUUCUUAAAAGACAAGUAAAACAUGUGGGGAUGCCUUUCAAAUGCCUUGUGCACCUUCUGGGGCAACCCAAAAUACUUCUUAAGGCUCAAAAGCUUCUUCCUUUCAGCUGAAUGCUCAACGAACAAAGAAAGCAAUUCAUGGAAAAAACCCACAACUCUUUUCUCUGCAAUAUCACUAUUAGGAUCUAAAUGUGAAUAAUCUUCAUAAGGUGAUACAUAAAGAAGCUUUUGGAACUCUUCUAACCAAUCCUGAAUCUUCCUCCUCAACCUCAAGCCCUUUGAUGGGAAAAGGGGAAACUCAAUUCCCUCCAUUGGCUCUCUAGAAUAUAACCCUUUCCUCGUUGCAUUUUUCUGCAAAACUGACACAAUUUUUUCUCUACUUUCAACACCCAAUCCCUUUAAUCCAUCUUCCAACUCCACAAUUCUAAAAGAACCGUCAAGAUUCUUAUCUGGAUAGUGCAAAAAAUCCUCUGGUAAACCCAAAUACCAUAACAUGCCUUUAAUAAUCUUGAAAGGCAAUACCUUCUCCUUACUCAUUAAUAUAAAUUUCUUCAAUCUCUCUGUCAAAUCCUCUUUACACUCCUCUAGCAACCUUUUCUCUUCUCUAUCGAUUGCAGCAGCUUCUUGGGUCAAUCUAAACCAAGGCAAAUUGUACUUGGGACCCACAAACUCCUCAAAGAUUGAUGGGUAUUGUCUCAAAAACCUAGCAACCUUGAUCUUCACAUCAAAUUGCAGUCCUCUUUUUGAUACAUGAGAGAUUGAGAUACAACCAUUUGGGUCUUGGGCUAUGAAAUCUUUCAAAGAAAGGAUGGGUUUGAGCUCUUUGGACUUGUGUAUGUGCUCUAUCGAAUCGUAUAACCUAUCUUUCUUCCACUUCAUGUAGACAUCCACAUAGUUGUGGGUUUGUGUGUACUGGUGUGGUAGGUUUUGGUACUGAUGAUUUGUUAGGGAAAAGAUUGGAUUUUGAGAAGAUAAGAAGAAGAACAAGGGCUUCCUAGAUUUGGGUUUUGUGAGGAACAUCGAAGUUGCAACACCUGGCCUACUCUGU